rnacentral:lncRNA from 1 species
CCACCCCACAGCCCUGGGGGCCGCGUGGGCCAGGCCACUCAGCAGGCUGGUGAUGUCUGGGAGGCUCAGAGAGCAGCAGAAGAGGUGGCAGGACAGGUUCCCGGACACUGGGAACUCCCCGCUAGCAAGCUGUGGCCCCGCCGUGGGGCAGGCCGUGGGGCCAGAGGAAGCGCUCUCCCACACCUGGUGACGCUUUCCUGUCCAUGAGCUGAGGACGGUAUCCAGCCUGCCGCGGGCGAGUAAGCCUCCUUUCCCACAGCAGAGCCAGGAGGCGAGUCCCGACCGUGUCACGCUCUGCAGCCUGAUGAUGAAGCCCAUCCAGCGAUUCCCGCAGUUCAUCCUCCUGCUCCAGGCUGGAGACCUUGCUUCCCCGGGCGGCCUUCCCUCCCGAGAUGCACCACCGAGCUGAGGCGGCUGAGCUGCUGACACCCCUGCAGGAUGCGGGCCACGUUGGGUUCUGAGGGAGGAGGAUUCAGACCGCGUGCCUGUCUUCUUCAGCCAGCGUCACUGUCCCAGGCGAGAGCGCUGGCAGCACAAGGCCUGUGUGCCGACCAGGUGGCGAAGAUGGCUCUCACUCCCUGCUCUUUACAAUUCACGCAGCACCAGUCCUUCCCCGGCCCGGUGUUGCCCUGCCCAGUGGCUUCCCAUGAUGCCUCUUGCUUUCCUGGUCUUCAGACAUGGAUGGAAAAAGACUUGGCCUCCCUGUUUUGUGAAUAUGUAUUUUUAGAUCCGUUUCAGGCUCACAGGAAACUGAGAGGGAGGCGGAGUCCCCCUGCCCCUUCCAGCCCCUGCAUGGCUGCCCCUGCCCGUGCCAUGCAGGGCGGUGUGUUUGUCACGUGGUGUCCUGCGCUGCCACGGCGUCAUCUCCCAGAGCACAUGGCUUCUGUGAGGCUUGCUUGGUGCUAGGCCUGGCAUCCGCCCCCACAGAACACCUCGGGGCAUUCAGGUGGGCUCCAGACCACUGUGAACGACUCACCUUGGUCCCCAGUGCACACACCGUGCCACACGGCACCACGCCUGCACUUGAGUAGUGUGCAAAGCAUCACGUCUGGAAAACGGUUGGAACCAAGGGCAGCUCCUCACCUGCUGAGGUCUGGCCGUGAGGUGGCCACAGGUACAUCCCUCCUCAGGCUCCCUGCUGACCUGGGCCCCUGCUGUGUGCACCACACCUGCAGUCCUUCCUCCACUGAGGUCUGCACCCUGCACGUCCUCCACGAGGGGUUGGGGUCCAUGCUCCUGCUCUCCGGUCGGUGCUGGAGUUGACGUCCUACAGGUCACAGGGUUCUAGGGUAGCAUCUAGGGUGUGAAUCCCUCCCCAGAGCUUUCCUGCUUGCUUUGCCAGACUUGCCAGAGCAGCCAGUGUCUGUGCUGGCUGUAGCUUUACCAGAAGGGUCGCUUGAGAAGUGAGAGCCGAGUGUCAGAGCCACUGUCUGACCCCUGACCCGAGGCUGCAGAGCUCCCUCAGAGAGGAGAGGCCAUGGAGCCUUGUCACUGAGUGGGAUAUUUAGAAAGGGUCUCUCUAGGAGUGGAUCUCUGAGGGGGCUUAAGUGUUGGAAAAUCACAUCCUAAACAGGUUGUUUACAGAGCACAGGCAGAGUACACUCAGCAUGACUCAGGAGCAGUGGGUUUUCAGGCAGUAAAUGAGCAUGGCUGCAGCUUAAAGCUACAGCUGUGCACAGGAAAGCCAGCCUGGCUUUGAAGCUCUGAAGCCAGGCGCUGACUCCUCUCUCGCUGCAGAGGCCUUGCUGGCCUCUCCCCCCUGGGCAACAGCUGUUGCGGCUGUCUUGCAAGGCCCCUGUUGAGUGGGCCCGGAUUACCAGCAGUGUCCACUACACCCCUGGGGAGCCAGCUGCUGUGUCCCUGCCACACCUGUGGCUCCUGCCCACACUUGGACGUUCUGGGCACCGCCUUCUCCUAAAGUGGCAGGAGCUGCCUCUGCCCUUUGGACUUCUGGUGCAGCCCUCCUCACCUCUCAGCUGGGGGUGGAGCCAGGUGUGAGGCUCUCUGGGUAGGCUCAGUCAGGGUGGGGGUGCAGGCCUCCUGCACACCAGCACAAGGCUGCGUGAUCCGCCUGGUAGCGCUGCUCCUCCCUCCAGGGACUUCCUCUCACGUCCCCAGCUGGUGGGCUGCCGCGGGAGGCUUCCACGUCGGCAGUCCUGUCUCCAUGCACCCUCUGCUCUGCUUCACCACCUCUAGUUUUUUAUCUGAAGGAAAGAACACUUCUGUCCUUCGGUAGGGUUCUUGGCUGGCCUGAUUCACUAGUGUGGGGAGGACGCCCGGGGAGGGAGACAGACGGGGUGGCUGAUUGGUCGUGGAGCAGGCAGUGCACAUGUCUCUUGAGUUCAGGUCAUGCUGGGUGUGGUUCAUGGGCCCCAGAGCAAUUAGAACAGACAUCAAAGCUCACCCUCCACAGAUCCCUCAGGAGCUGAACCCCAAGGAAGUGUGUGAGGGGCUGAGAAUUCCCAGUGAGACCCGGCGUGUACUUCCGGGAAAGACUGGUGCACUUGUGGCCUCCGUCUUUAGGGCAGAGCAGAGAAGGUCCCCUGGGGAGCCAGGGCCCUUUCGGGGCGGCACAGCAUGGAGCUCUGCCGGGCAGAGGACAUACACUCCCCGUGGGCCCUGCUGGACACUGGUGUUUGCAAACGCAGCUCCUCCAUGUGUGGUGCCGUGGUCUGGCUCUGACACACUGCUGUGUGCAGUGCCCCUUGGGGGAGGAGCUUGCUCUUGGGCUGCUGGGUACUCAGCCCAGGGGUGGCUCAGCCGCUGCCACCCUCGUGCCAACCAUGG